rnacentral:rRNA from 1 species
AUUAAACGCUGGCGGCAUGCCUUACACAUGCAAGUCGAACGGCAGCACGGGGGCAACCCUGGUGGCGAGUGGCGGACGGGUGAGUAGAGCAUCGGAACGUAUCCUGGAGUGGGGGGAUAACGUAGCGAAAGUUACGCUAAUACCGCAUAUUCUGUGAGCAGGAAAGCAGGGGAUCGCAAGACCUUGCGCUCUGGGAGCGGCCGAUGUCGGAUUAGCUAGUCGGUGGGGUAAAGGCCUACCAAGGCGACGAUCCGUAGCGGGUCUGAGAGGAUGAUCCGCCACACUGGGACUGAGACACGGCCCAGACUCCUACGGGAGGCAGCAGUGGGGAAUUUUGGACAAUGGGCGGAAGCCUGAUCCAGCCAUGCCGCGUGAGUGAAGAAGGCCU